GUAGUCCACGCCCUAAACGAUGUCAACUAGUUGUCGGGUCUUUAUUGACUUGGUAACGCAGCUAACGCGUGAAGUUGACCGCCUGGGGAGUACGGUCGCAAGAUUAAAACUCAAAGGAAUUGACGGGGACCCGCACAAGCGGUGGAUGAUGUGGAUUAAUUCGAUGCAACGCGAAAAACCUUACCUACCCUUGACAUGGCAGGAAUCCUUGAGAGAUCAGGGAGUGCUCGAAAGAGAACCUGCACACAGGUGCUGCAUGGCUGUCGUCAGCUCGUGUCGUGAGAUGUUGGGUUAAGUCCCGCAACGAGCGCAACCCUUGUCAUUAGUUGCUACAUUCAGAUGAGCACUCUAAUGAGACUGCCGGUGACAAACCGGA
rnacentral:rRNA from 1 species